GGGGGGGGGGGGGGGGGGGGGGGGGGGGGGGGGGGGGGGGGGGGGGGGGGGGGGGGGGGGGGGGGGGGGGGGGGGGGGGGGGGGGCCGGGCUCCGCCUCGGGCUGGGAUUGGCUGGGCCGGCGGGGCGGGGCGGGCCGUGCCGUGGGCUAUAAAUGGCGUGCGCGGGUGGGCGCCGCUGUCAGUGCGGCUGUGGGGUUGUGUCGGUGUGCGGGGCUGCCGCUUUGGAGUCUGGGAGCGCUGCCCUGAGGUGCAGUGAGAGCCAGAACCAGCAUGUAGCUGGAAGCAGUGGGAAGCUGAGGACCAGGAGCUCAGCUAGCAGAGCUGGCAGAAACACAAAGAUGGUAGGGCUGGGGACAAAACUGUUGUAGGACUGGGAUGGGGAAUGUAGGGCUGGGGUAAAGAUUGUGGGGUGGGAGCUGAAAUGUUGCUGGUCUGGAACCAUAAAGAAGAUAAUUCACUGACAGCCAGGCACCUUUUCACUUGGUGAUGCUGGGAAGAUGUGGAGCUGGCAGUGAAAUAAAGCUUUUGGGGCUGGAGCUGAAAUCACUGUAGGUUGGGAUGGUGACUGGAUCUGGCAUAGCUGCUGUAGGGAUGGAGCUGAAGCAUACCAGUGCUGCUGGAGGCAAUGUGAGGAUCCAGCCCUGAACCUGGUGCAGGUUCAACUGGCAGUGGAGGGAUGAUGCAGAGCUGGUGCUGAAAUGGGAGAGCUGGCAUUAAAAUAAAACUUGUGGGAGUGAAGCUGGAAUCACUGAGGCUGGGAUAGCAACUUUGGGACUUGGAUAGCGACUGUGGGGCAGAAUUAGGGACAGAAGGGCUGGAGCUGAAAUCACUGUGGGAUAGUGACUGUGGGACUGGGAUAAUGACUGUGGUGUGGGAAUAGGGGCAGAAGGGCUGAAGCUGAAAUCUCCAUAGGGCUGGGAUAGUGUCUGGAUCUGGGAUGUAGGGAUGGAGCUGAAUCAUUACAGAGCUGGAGCCAAAAUGAAGAUCCUGCCCUGAGAACCUGGAGCAGCUUGGACUGGCAGUGUUGGGAAGAUGUAGAGCUGGAGUGGAAACAGCAGAGCUAGUAGUGAAAUAAAGCUUGGGGUGCUGGAGCUGUGAUCACUGUGGCACUGGGAUAAGAACUUGAGUAGGGACUUGAGUAGUGAGUGUGAGACUCAGUGAGUGUGGGGCAGGAAUAUGGGCAGAAGCGCUGAAGCUGAAAUUGUGCUAAGAUAGACUCUGAAACUGGAAUUAUAGGGCUGGGUUAACAAAUGGAGCCGGACCUGAAAUGUCACAGAGUUGGUAUUGAAAUAAAGCUUGUGGGACUGGAGCUGGAAUCACUGUGGGACUAGGAUAGAGAUAUUGGGAUAGUGACUCUGGAGCUGAGAUUGCAAUUAGCAAUGGAGCCAAAACCUUGCAGAGCUUCUGGAGCCAAACUGAGAAUCCUGCCCUGACAACCUGGAAUAGCUUCACCUGACAGUGUUGGAAAAUGCAGAGCUGGAGCUGAAACAGCUGAGCUGGCAGUGAAAUAAAGUUUGUGGAGUGGAGCUGGAAUUACUGUGGGGCUGGGAUAAAGAAUGCAAGGGAAGGGGAAACAAAGCAAGGGAGGUGUUGAGGCAGGGCAUGAGAAGGCUAGGGAAGGCAAGCAGGUGCAGGAAAGGAAUGAGAGGGGAAGGCAGGGAAGGGACAGGGGAGGAAACCAAGGAAGGGUUAGGCAAGGGAAGGUGUCGCUGUACGCGCUAGAAAUCGCGUAAAUAACGACAAUUACUUCCAGAGCUAGUGGCUAAAGAAGCGAUUUAUUGAAAAAACGAACUACAUUUAUAGUGUGGUUCGCAAGCUGCAAACAGAACAGCAGUCCAUUGGACAACAGCAGAAAACAAAUCCUGUCACAUAGCAUGAGAACUGUUUCUCAGUCAACACCAGGUGCUUUAUCUUUAUUAAUUCCUUUCUAUUUUUCCCGAAUGUUAUCAUCUUGGGAAAGGCUCAGGCCGGAGCUGAGAAGCUGUCUCAGCAUGGGAAAGAUUUUCCAGCGUGAAAAAGAGAAAAGAAGCUCCGAGCCUGAAAAGGCGGAUCGAGC
rnacentral:lncRNA from 12 species